rnacentral:misc_RNA from 1 species
UUCCAUCCCAACAGAUAUUGGAAGAUCUCUUGGUUUUGCCUCCUUUUUCUCGGUAGCAAACAAUAGCAUCACUGGAAUAAUUCCUGAAUCCAUAUGCAACGUCAGCUACCUUCAAGUUCUUGAUUUCUCUAACAAUGCCUUGAGUGGAACAAUACCACCAUGUCUACUGGAAUAUAGUCCAAAACUUGGAGUGCUGAAUCUAGGGAACAAUAGACUCCAUGGUGUUAUACCAGAUUCAUUUCCAAUUGGUUGUGCUCUAAUAACUUUAGACCUCAGCAGGAAUAUCUUUGAAGGGAAGCUACCAAAAUCGCUUGUCAACUGCACGUUGUUGGAGGUCCUGAAUGUUGGAAAUAACAGUCUUGUUGAUCGUUUCCCAUGCAUGUUGAGGAACUCAACCAGCCUGAAGGUCCUAGUCUUGCGCUCCAAUAAAUUCAAUGGAAAUCUUACGUGUAAUAUAACCAAACAUAGCUGGAAGAAUCUCCAGAUCAUAGAUAUAGCUUCCAACAAUUUUACUGGUAUGUUGAAUGCAGAAUGCUUUACAAAUUGGAGAGGAAUGAUGGUUGCAAAAG